rnacentral:rRNA from 1 species
UCCUACGGGACGCAGCAGUGGGGAAUAUUGCACAAUGGGGGAAACCCUGAUGCAGCGACGCCGCGUGAGUAAGGAAGUAUUUCGGUAUGUAAAGCUCUAUCAGCAGGGAAGAAAAUGACGGUACCUGACUAAGAAGCCCCGGCUAACUACGUGUCAGCAGCCGCGGUAAUACGUAGGGGGCAAGCGUUAUCCGGAUUUACUGGGUGUAAAGGGAGCGUAGACGGCAGCGCAAGUCUGGAGUGAAAUGCCGGGGCCCAACCCCGGAACUGCUUUGGAAACUGUGCGGCUCGAGUGCGGGAGGGGUA